rnacentral:misc_RNA from 1 species
GAGAGAAGACGCCCGUCCACUCAUCCGCCGUGAGAAAGUACAAACUUACUUUUAUGAUCCGACGUGCAGCUUCGAUAGUGACCCCAUCCGAUACUAUGCGGACGGGCCGAUGUCGGCUGGUGGUGGAGAGUCCACGAUAAAUGUUUUCAGAUUGAACGAACUAUCGCGAGGGAGACGUUAUCAUUACUGUGUGUGACUGUCGCAUUGUGAGCAAGUCAAUAAAUUUAUUGAAUUUUCUCCGAAGUUUUGCGAAACGGGAAGAAAGCUCAGGUGCAGUUGGUCGGCUCUCAGGAUACCUACCUGUUCUCACUAGUUCCGCGGUCCAAUUAGCGGGAGAUUCGGGCGCGUCCUGUUUACAUGGUCUUACGUACGUACACCAGCGUGUAUGACUUAUCGCCGAUUGUGGGCGAAUCGUGACCCAAUAGUGCACUUUGGUAGUCCCGCGACUUUUCCGUGUGAUUUGCUAGAAGAGGACAGGGUGCCUGUCGCGUGUGUGUUUACCUCCGCCAAACAGGUAUUUCGCGGUACGUUCUGAUUUUCGGAAUUCGAGUGCAGUUCACGUUUCCAGGAGUGCAUGUUCUUUGAUUAGUUUAUCUAGUCAAUAUCCACUCGCUGCUACCCCGCAAGAGUAUAAGCCUUGCAGUGUGUUUGCUCUGAUUCAAAGGAAGCUAAAAAUAUCUAAAGUGGAAAUCUAUGUGAAGUGUCGUUGCAAAGCAGGUGAAUAAGUUCCAGUUGGAUUCCCAUCCAAUUAAAUCGAUUCUGGGUUAAUCAGUGCAUUUUAUCUAAUCCAUGCUUGACUGUGAUGCUAGAAAGUGAUUCCAGAUAGUUCAGAGGAUCCACUGUCCAGCGCUAGACUCAUCUCGCCGAGCUCCAAGCUCAGUUGAAUUUUUUAUCUGCUUGUUCCUGUCGAGUCCAAGAAAGUAUUCAAACUGUGAUGAUGGCUCCAAUGCCAAGUAGUAAGAGUCCAUCCAAGGGUCCAACAUUCCUUUUCUCAGCUGCCGAUUCAGAUGAUUCCAGCCCUGCACCAUCAAGCCCACCAAGCACAGAUGCACCGAAAUCACAAUGCUCGUCGCUGUCUGAGGUUGAAUCAUUCGAGGGAUUUGGUGAAAAUGAUGCUACAGAUAGUGGUUGCAGCAAUAAUAUACGCGUAAAUUUAAGAAACGUUAACAGUGCCGGUAGUGAGGCCAGUGGCAGUAACAGGGAUGCUGAAAAUGAUGGAAGAGUUCGCGGAGUUGAACUAGAGCUGGCUCCACAUGCUAAUUCUACACCGAAUGGCGAUGAUGAUCGUAGCUCUAUCUCGCGGCAUACGUGGUCACGUACGAGCUUGCGAAGAACUCCUACCAGCAAUCCUGAUAAUUUGCCCAAUAGACGCUGGGGCUCCAUGAGACACUCUGGACGACGUCAAUUAGGUUCAAAUGCCUUAGCUAGCCACUUGUACAGAUCAUCGAGUUUUAACUCGUCCGGGAGAAGCUCCACCUGUGAUACAGCCGAAGACAUGUAUAGUGAUAUGAGUUUGGAGGAUGUGCAAGAUUUAAGUCAUAAGCUCGAUUUGCUGCAGAGACAAGUCACUGAUCUUGCAGACACACGGAAUACAGUUGAAGAUCGUACAACGAGAACUAAGACCGAAUAUGCUGUACUACAGGCCCGGUAUCAUAUGCUCGAGGAGCAAUUUCGAGAGUCCGAGCUACGUGCGGAAGAACGUUUGGCCGAAGAGCAAAAACGACACCGGGAACUAUUGGCCCGUGUCGAGCGCGAAGCUGCCCUACAAAAUGAAAAUUGCCAAAUAAAAAUUCGCACUAUUGAAAUGGAAGCAAACAGUUUACGUGAGGAAGCACAACGUUUGCGAGUUCUAUGUGACAAGCAGGCAAAUGACCUGCAUGCGACUGAAGAGAAAUUAGAAAUAACACGUGAUAACUUGGCUUCCGUACAGCAGGAAUUGUUGGAGGCACAAUCCGCCGAACGGAAACUGUUGGAUGAAAAGAAAGUGUCAGAGGAUUUAAUGCUGGAGUUGGGCAAGGAAUUGGAAAGGUUACGGUCGGAACGAGGUCCUGCGCUACCAACCACAUCGGCAGAAACGCUUAGGCUCGAAGAGUUACAUCAAGAGUUGGAUGAAUUACGACAGAAGAACAAAAUUCUCGAAGAACAAAAUGAAGAGUUGCAAGCGGCAGUCCUGUCUCGAGGCGUAGAGGAAGGCCGACAUUUGUUGAAUGGAACGCUGAACAGUCUAGCACAAGAACUAGAAGAGAUGUCACAGGCACAGAAAAAGCGAAGAAAAUUUCCUUUCGGACUAUUUAACUUUUUUAGAUGAGAAAAAAGAAUAUCUUUCUAGAAAAAUGUGUUUAUUUUAUGAUGGGUGUAUUAUGAGUACUUAAUAUUGUCAUGGAUUAAGUGAUGAAAAAUAGAAAAUAUUCCUAUUCAAGAUUCUUUAAAAUAUUACCAAAGGAGCAAAGCAAUACUUCCGAACUAAUAAUUUAUUUAAUUAUUUAAGAGAUUCAGUUGAUUCAGCCACAUUAGCAUCAUUAAGUCAGCUUCAACAAGCCUAUCAGGACAAAGAAGAGGAAAAUCAACGGCUCAAACACUACAUAGAUACAAUAUUACUAAAUAUCGUUGAAAACUAUCCACAACUCCUGG